ensembl:lncRNA
CGAUCACAUGACUGUGACUCGGCGCUUUGGAACAUUUAUUUAACGGAUGUUUAAGUGAAGAAGACGCUUUGAGUUGUUUUUUUAAAUCAAACUCUGAACAGAGUUCACAGCAGAUGUGGCGAUAAGUCACGGAGGAGAUCACGGGAUUCACAGGGAGACAAAUAGACUGUCGAGAAUGCGUUUAAAACUUCAAAUUACACUUUGAGGGGAUUUGAAGAUCCUUUACCAGUUUGGAGAUUGAACCCCUGCUGCAGAGACGACUCCGUUUCCACUAAUUUCAACCUGCAGGGCUGAAAAAUGAAGCCAACGCUGAACCGCCUCUAAUGGCCGCUUGAGGGUGGCUCCAGCGGUGGAUGCUGAUACAAGCCGCUGCAGCUUCUAGCUUCAACUCAGCUAACUGAAGAUGGAACUGCCAGGAAAUGAUGAAGAGCUUAGAAAAGGCGACCCCCGAAAAAAGAAGAAGAUCUGACGAACCACGAGGCUCGCUGUGAGGUUAACUGCACCUACAGACCAUCCACCGUACCUGUGAGACGCACCUGCACAGCCUGCUCUUCUGUCUCCAGCAAGCUAACAUGGCGGCCGUGACAUCCACUCACACUCAGACUGAGAGAUAAAAUAAACAGCUGUCAGAGACGGGGGAGGGGGAGGUCGUCAUUUUGCCACGAUGGCACACAAACACUCAGACGUACAUGAAGACAAUAACAGCAGCUGAUAUUUAUGCCUUCACAUGAUGACUGAUGAUGGCUCCAUUUUGUUUUUAACUGAUGCUCCAACUUUUCUCCAAAAAAAAGUAAUAUUUUCAGUUUCCACUCGUUCCUCUUGAAUUUUUUAUGAGCAAAUUGACAAUGCCUAAAAAAUAAAAUUGCUGGUAAACAGCACACUUAAAGUCACUUGUUAUUAUCCUCUGCUUUCUAAACAUCCUGAAUCUAAAUGAAGUGAAAUAUUUAAACAGAGAACACCGUGUUUUUCCUUUUUGUCUCCUCUUUUUAAACGUCGGCACCAAAUGGAAAAUUCUUUCAGAGCCGUCCAUCACGUCUGCAGAUUUCUCUGACAUCCUGACAAAAAGUGAAACAUAAUUAAAGUGCGUUUGUGGAGUCUCCGGGCGACAGGUCGGCGGGGUUCAGGUUAAUGAGGUUAAUAUUCACUGAGAGUACAGUUUGUUUUCGUG